ensembl:lncRNA
UGUAGUCUUUGUCAUGUUUGGGUGUUCCUGCUCCAUGUGUUCUGCAGUGCAUGUUGUUGGAGCAGGCUGUCAUGCAAUUGCUAUGGCUUGGGUCUGUUUUCUCAGUGUUCUUGUUGUCUUAAGUGAAGUAAAGUCAAGGUUUAGUUUUGUGAAAGCCUUUUGUAGAGAAGUUGUAGAGUAAGGUGUUGUAACUCAGUAGCAGAGUUCAUGAUGGACUGAAAACAGAACAAGAAAAUAAGUACUUAAGCCAUUUACACAGGAAAAGUUCAGUGUUCUGGGAAUUCUACUGCAGGAAUCCACACAGUUGGCUGGAACCAGGGUCUCCCUAGGAGAGUAUGAGGGCUUAAGCCUCUGCUACAGCCGCUGUGAAUAGACUUGAUCGAAACGAGACCAAUAGGAUCCUGUUUUAUG